GAUGAACGCUGGCGGCGUGCUUAACACAUGCAAGUCGAACGAUGAAGCCCAGCUUGUUGGGUGGAUUAGUGGCGAACGGGUGAGUAACACGUGAGUAACCUGCCCUCAACUCUGGGAUAAGCCUGGGAAACUGGGUCUAACACCGGACAGGAGCGCCUACCGCACGGUGGGUGUUGGAGAGAUUUAUCGGUUUUGGCUGGAUUCGCGGGUUAUCAGCUUGUUGGUGAGGUAAUGGCUCACUAACGCAAAGACGGGUAGCCGACCUGGGACGGUGGCCGGCCACACUGGGACUGAGAGAGGGCGCAGACUCCAACGGGAGGCAACGGUGGAAAGUAUUACGCAGUGGGGGAGAGCCAGAGACGGCGGCGCUGCGUGCGGAAUAACGGCCUUCGAGUUGAAAACAUCUGUCAGUAGAAAAGAAGCGAAAGUGACGGUACCUGCAGAAAAAGCACCGGCUAACUACGUG
rnacentral:rRNA from 1 species